rnacentral:rRNA from 1 species
UGGGGAAUUUUGGACAAUGGGGGAAACCCUGAUCCAGCCAUCCCGCGUGUGCGAUGAAGGCCUUCGGGUUGUAAAGCACUUUUGGCAGGAAAGAAACGUCAUGGGUUAAUACCCCGUGCAACUGACGGUAUCUGCAGAAUAAGCACCGUCUAACUACGUGCCAGCAGCCGCGGUUAUACGUAGGGUGCAAGCGUUAAUCGGAAUUACUGGGGGUAAAGCGUGCGCAGGCGGUUCGGAAAGAAAGAUGUGAAAUCCCAGAGCUCAACUUUGGAACUGCAUUUUUAACUACCGGGCUAGAGUGUGUCAGAGGGAGGUGGAAUUCCGCGUGUAGCAGUGAAAUGCGUAGAUAUGCGGAGGAACACCGAUGGCGAAGGCAGCCUCCUGGGAUAACACUGACGCUCAUGCACGAAAGCGUGGGGAGCAAACAGG